rfam:Hanseniaspora opuntiae strain AWRI3578 Hanseniaspora_opuntiae_AWRI3578_scaffold228, whole genome shotgun sequence.
GUCUUGAUCACCUAAUUGGUAAGGUAUUACUCUUCUAAAGUAAGGAUAAUUGUUCGAAUCAAUUUCAAGAUA